CACCGCGCCGCACGCAAGGCAGCGGCCGCCCCCGGCCUCCACAUGCCGCCCCUCUCGCUGCGGAAGAGGCCGGGGAGGAGCCGGCGCCGCGCGGCCGCUACCGCCCUCCGCCGGCGCCGAAGAGCAGCGCGGAGCCGGGUGCCGCGGCUGGGAUUUGAGCGCAGCGGGCAGCCCGGGCAGAGCGCGGGAAGCCGAUUCCCGCCGUGCGGCGCCCCCGGCGCGGGUAACGAACGAGCGGGGCGGUCCGAGCUGCGGAGCGCCCCCAAGCGGCAGGUGUGUGGCGGUCACUGGCAGUGCGCUGAGGGGGAUAAACGGAAAAGAUACAGGCGACGCGGACAGAGCGGAGAUGGGGCUGUGUGGAUCUGUGUGCUCGCUGCAUUCCCCUGCUGGAGUGGUACAUGAAGAGAUGCUCUCUUGUUCCUUGAGGACGGAUCCCACGUGCUUAACACCUCUGGAAGAAAAACAGUGAUAUUUUCACAGCUGCAGUAGUUUAAAUACUGAGGGCAUGCAGAUUCGUCCCUAGCAUUUCUGUGAGGAAUGACACAAGAUCAUUACCUUGCUGAGACUGAGCAAUCCAAUUUCAAAGCAUGGAAAAGAGCACUCUGAAGAAAUCUACAAUACGAUUAGAAUUGAAUCAAAUGCUGUGGAAGACAGAGAAGCAAGAAGUUCUUGAAUGAAAAAGAAACACCUUGUCAAGGAGUUAUGGUAGCACGUACAACCCCAUAUAAUAACUGUAAAUCACAGCCUGAACCACUGAUUGAGCACCUGGGGAAAGCACCCCGUCAGCCCUGGGAGCACAGGGGAAGGCAAUUCAGCUGUGUGACCAGAAGGGGUGGAGCCUGGCUGCUACAGUCAUUGCUUCUUGACCACUACAUCCCUGAUAAAAAGUCCCUCCUCAUCUUUCCUCUGAGUAUUGGAAGGCCACAAUGAGGUCUCCCCAAGCCUUCUCUUCUUUAAGCUAAAUGUGCCCAAGUCCCUCAGCUUUUCUUCACAGGAGAGGUGUACCUGCCCUCUGAUUGUUCUUGUGGCCAUCCUCUGGACCCGCUGCAACAGCUCCAAGUCUUACUUAUGCUGGGAGCCCCAGAACUGAACACAGAACUGCAGGUAUUUAUUUGAUUUGAGGUAAGAAUUCUUUUUUCUCUGCAAGGAAAGUUCACACCAGGAGAGCGCAAAGACUGCUUAUCCAAAAAUAGCUGAAGGAGUGAAAAUAUUUCUAAGAGACAGUAAUUGUGAAGAUGAGGGAUUAGAUAGUAAACUGGCAGUUGGAAGGGGUUGAAUACAAACUAUGAGUGUUCAAAAGGAGAACCAGGCACAGUACUAACUAUAGGAGUGGAAACAGAGGAAAAGAAGCACAGUGAAGAGUAAGAAGAGGGAGAUGUGUUUGCCAAAUUUCCAAAUAGGGAGAGGCAAGCACUCAUCAGUCUAUUUAGCUAUGCAUCUACAGCCACAAUACACACAAAACAGAUCUCCAGCUAGGAUUUACAACUUCAGAAUCCUAUAGUAAAAUUGGUAUUUAGUCAUAAGCCACAGUAUGGGUAAUUCUGAAUUAACAUUAUUAUCUGUGCAAUUCAUCUGACAAAUCAUAGCUGUACUAACUGGACUUCAAAUAUGCAGAGCUUGCUCAUCACAACAGUUACUCCUUUUUUCCACUCUAAAUCCUUUUCAAUCCUUUGCAGCCCUCUUUUCAGUGGUAGUGGCUCCUAAGUCAUGCACAAAUAACAGCGGGUAAUGUUACAUUUCCACGUAACUAUUCCUUUACUAACAAGGAAGCUUCUGUCAUAGUUAACACAGGAGUUCUCCUUCAAACGAAAUAGUUCAGUAAUGAAAUCCUACAGGCAGGAUAUAUACUUGUUUAAGAUCUGCAUUUACCACCAGUUGAUUUAAGCUGUAGAGCACCGUAAUGGAGCAAACUUAUGUCUGUCACUCUACGCGCAUAUUCUUAUCCCACUGUAAGCAUAACGGGUAUCAAACUACUUACAGUGAAACAAUUAUCACACACAGUAAUAGGGGUUGGAAGGGACCUCAAGACAUCAGUUAUCCUAUUUCUUAAGCCUUACUACUCUGACUUCACUGACACUGUAGUUUGUCACCUGAGAGAACACAGGAGUAGUUUUUAAUUUCAUGUUGCUCUUUCAUGGACAGAAAGCUUAACACUGUGGACAGACACAACAGGGUGACUUAAGGUGGGUUUUUUUUUCUUUUUAAUUACCUAACUGAAAGUACUGCUUUUCUCAAUUUUAGAUACCUUAAAAACUGCACUAAGGUCUUUAUGGUUGGCUGAUCUACACAAUGAAACUUUUGCAGUGUUGUGUCUGUAUUUCAUACUAACCAAAGUCUUUCUUUUCAGAAAGAGGUGGUGUCUGUUAGGCAGCUUCAGGAGGUUAGACUGUAUGUGAUUUACUUGUCCAUUUCCUGCAACAUUUCAGGAUUUCUGAGUCUUUACAGACUUUUCAAGUCAACAUUGUAUCAUCAACAGGCCUGUUUAACACAAGUCCUACAGGAAUAAGCUGAUUUAAUGGGCUACACGAAGCCACAGUUAACUAAGUCAAUUCUAUUUCCAACUGGCUGCUUGUACUUGCUACUGUGUUGAUUCAGUUGAGGCAGAACAGACAAAACCUACCCUAAGCAGUGGGUACUAUAUUUACCUAAAUGUUGCUGGCUUAGUUAAAAAAAAAACAAAAACCAAAAACAAACAACUCAGUUUUUCUUUAUACAGAGAAUAGCACAGCAAUCAGACAAUAUAUUCUAUGUACAACAUACAACAUAUUCUGUAUUUCACUGUAUUUCUUAUGGAAAAAAAAAACUAACAGUAAACACUUAAUACUGAAUGCAGGGAACCUCUACUAAAAGGAAAACAGCCAUGCUUGAGUGAAAUGCAAUUAAUGAUUGCUUUUUCACUUCCUCUGUAUAUAAUUCUUGCCACAAAUGUCAUUUCUUCAUGAGUAAAAGAUCUCUAGCAUAAUGUCAGAAUUGUUUAUGUUUGAGGAAAAUAAAUCCUCAGGUAAAAAGAACCAAGCAGCACACUGCUUCCUGUAUUCAUACUGAGUUUUUCUAAUGGGUUUGCAAAUGCACAAAACCUCGCUCAAAUGCAACUAGCAGUGGGUGUCCAGUGCCUUUACGUUUGUGGAAUAUGAGCAAUUCCCAUAGUUUUGUCUGUUAAUUUUUCUUAUAAGAACUGAUGUAAUGCUGAUACAUGGAUGGUUUAAUUGCUGCAAAGUAGUGCUUACACAGAGCCAAGGAUGUUCAGCUCCUCACUCUGUCCAGACAGUAACUGGCUGUGAGUGCAGAAGGAACAGCAGGACAGGACUGCUGACCCAAAGUGACUAAAAGGAUAAGCUGUACCAUAUGGUGUCAUGCUCAGCUAUAAAAGCUGGGGAGAAGAGGAAGAAAGGAGAUGUUUGGAUUCAUGGUGUUUGAUUUCCCAAUAAACUGUUACAUGUGACGAGCCCUGCUUUCCUGGAAGUGCUCAAAGAUUUGCCUGUUGAUGGAAGUAGUGCAUGAAUUCCUUAUUUUGCUUUGAUUUCACAUGCUGCUUUUGAUUUAUCUAUUAAAGUGUCUUUAUCUCAGUCCAUGAGUUUUCACACUUUAACUCUUCUGAUUCUCUUCGCCACCCCAUUGAGGGGGGUGAUUAUGCAGCUCUGUGAGUGCAUUCCAGCCACCACACUGAAGAACCCUUCAUAGCAGAAAAGUAAGCAAUUCAUAUACUUUGUUAUUGAUUUAUAUACUUUAUAUUGUGCUUGCUUUUCUUCUGAAUCACUGACGAAAAUACAAAGCUUGUCUCCCUGGAAAAAUUUACUUUCUCAAUUGUGGAAUAUUAGAUAUGAAGACAAAAGAUGUUUUGUUUCCUCCUGUAAGCACGAGAAGCAAGUAAUAAACCACUCCCAUUCCUCCUACCAUUACAGAAAACCUGAAAGAAAUUUUAGUGUAACUUGUUAUUAACACAACAGAAAUAGACAGAAGAUUACUGAAUGAUUUGUUUUGCAAAGAUACUUAAGCAUAUGUCUAACUUAAAAAUACCUCAAAGAACCUCUGGUUCUUUAAGUUCAGUAUUUAUUCAAGUCCCCUGCUAAACAUCAAUCAGAGAAAUAACAGGAAAAAAAGAAGCAGACUGA